GUCUACGGCCAUAGCACCCUGAACACGCCCGAUCUUGUCUGAUCUCGGAAGCUAAGCAGGGUCGGGCCUGGUUAGUACUUGGAUGGGAGAAAUGGAGAGAGGAGGGAAAGACA
rnacentral:rRNA from 1 species